GCUUACAUACUUUCUUGUGUACUUCUUAUUGUCUAUUUCUCGUGUUUUGUUCUGCUUGACUUUUUUGUAGAUUUUUUUAAUAGUACUACUGAUAUGGAAUACUGCAUUGUUGGGAAAAGGCAAGCAAGAAAGAAAAUUAAAACUCAAAAAUGAACUCGCCCACUGGAAUGUCUUCCCCAGACAAGACGUGUGCUUAGUGCUUGCCCUUGCUCAGAAAUAGCUACCCAAGUGAAAAUAGGCUUUCAUAAAAGUGGUUCAACAAUCUUGGGCAGAUUGCGAAGAUUUGGAUUACCCCCGACUAGCUUCUAUUUAGGCUGUCAACCGUCAAACCUGAGAAUGGUGUGUUGUUGGGCAAAAAUAAUGAUGACAGAUAAGGAAGCAGUGGCCAGACACCAGUCACGUUUCAGAGUAAUGGAGGACAUAACCACAAUUGAUAAUGUAAUCAGUGCUGUGUCGUGUAUGUUGUAAGGAGGUGCCCCCCAUCCAUGGUGCCACAAUGGACAACUCCUGGGCCAGGGAGCUGGGUCGGAUCCGUAUGUCAUGCUCCUUCAUGACCGGUAUCUGUGACGAGAGGGGCCUGGAGCUGAUCUACUGACACUGGCAAACACCUCAGAAGGGACAAAAGAUGGAGGACAAGUGAUAAGCUUUGGUCAUGGAGUCCUCUGACUGAAAGACAGGUUUAUACUGAUGUCUGAAUUGGGAAAUACCUUGUACUCCGCAUUAAAAUUAUACAAGACACCUCUA